AUGUCUUACACUCAUCCAAAGUCUUUAGUUUUGGCUUAAAGUAGGGCUAUCAAAUUAAUUAAUUUUAAAAAAAUUAAUCACGUUAAAAUAUUUAACGCAAUUAACGCAUGCGCUGCACGACCCACUCACGCAUUGUCGCGUUCAAUCUAUAAUGGCGCUGAUUUACUUAUAUAUAGAGGUAAAAGGCAGCGUAAAAUGUUUAGAGCAAAUUUUGGCAGUCUUUGGAGCCUUUUUUUAAUUGGCUAAAGCCUUAAAAUCCCUCUCUCAACAAUUAAAAAUAUCGUGGGAAAGCAAUUUGGGGAAGUAAGGUAGUAGUUGAUCGUUUUCUUUACACCCUGUGUUAUUUCCCAACGCAGAGAAGAUAUAUCAAUUGGUGCCACUACGCACAGUCAUGGUUGCACUUCUCAUCAUGCAAUUGGGCAGAACAGUUAAAUGGCUACAGUGUCAUUUACUGAAAGCUCAACAAAUACACUAGAUGGCAAUAUUUAGUCAGAAUAUACAAAGUCACAUUUAUCCAUUAAGAAUUACAAGUCUUUCUAUCCGUGGAUCCCUCUCACAGAAAGAAUUAAUAAUGUAAAUGCCAUCUUGAGGAUUUAUUGUCAUAAUAAACAAAUACAGUACUUAUGUACUGUAUGUUGAAUGUAUAUAUUCGUCCGAGUUUUAUUCAUUUUUUUCUUAACGCAUUGCCAAAAUGUAUAUGAUCGGGAAAAAUUAUCGGGAAUGAUUGGAAUUAAAUCGGGAGCAAAAAAAAAAAGCAAUCGGAUCGGGAAAUAUUGGGAUCGGCAGAUACUCAAACUAAAACGAUCGGGAUCGGAUCGGGAGCAAAAAAAACAUGAUCGGAACAACCCUAGUUAAUAGUAAAUAUUCUAGUAUAUAUUUUUUCAAAUUCUUAAAUUCAGCUGAAUUAUACAUGACAAAGUAUUUUUUGAAAAAUUAAUAGUAAUAACACAGUGGUAUGAAAAAGUGAACCUUUUGGAAUUUCUCACAUUUCUGCAUAAAAUCAAAUGUGAUAUGAUCUUUGUCAAAAUCACACAGAUGAAAAAACUGCUUUAAUUAAAACCACCCUAACUUUUAUAGGUUUUCGUAUUUUAAUUAGUAUACAAAAAAUGACAGAAGGGGGAAAAAUAAGUGAACCAUCACAUUUAAUAUUUUGUGCCCCCCCUUUGGCAGGAAUAACUUCAUCCAGAUGCUUCCUGUAGCUGGCACAUCGAUCAGGACUAAUCUUGGCGUAAUCUUCCCUACAAAACUGCUGUAGUUCAGUCAGAUUCCUGGGAUGUCUGGCACGAAUUGCUGUCUGUAGGUCAUGCCACAGCAUCUCAAUCGGGUUCUAGUCUGGACUUUGACUUGGCCACUCCAGAACGUGUAUAACUGUAUCCAUCCUCUUUAAAGCUUCAACUGUCUGACAGACCGCCUCAGGUUUUCCUGCAAAACAUCCUGAUAAACUUUUGACUUAAUUCUUUCAUUAAUGAUUGCAAGUUGUCCAAGGCCUGAGGCAGAAAAACAGCCCCAAAUCAUGAUGCUCCCCUCCAUCAAGCUUCAUGGUGGUUGAUGUUGGUGAGCUUUUCCAUUUUUCCUCCACACAUGACGUUGUGUGUUACUCCUAAAUAAUUCAACUUUGGUUUCAUCAGUCCACAAAAUAUUUUGCCAGAACUUCUGUGGAGUGUCCAAGUGCCUUUUUGCGAACAUUAAACGAGCAACAAUGUGUUUUUUUAGACAGCAGUGGCUUUCUCCGUGAAGCCCUCCCAUGAAUACCAUUUUUGGCCAUAGUUUUACAAAUAGUUGAUGUUUGCACAAAGAUAUUGGACUGUGCCAGUGAUUUCUGUACGUCUUUAACUGACAAUCCAGGGUUCUUUUUUCCCUCUGAGUAUUCUGCGCUGAACUCUUGGCGUCAUCUUUGGUGGAAGGCCACUCGUUGGGAGAGAAGCAACAGUGCCAAAUUCUCUCCAUUUGUUGACAACUCAUCCGACUGUCGAAUGGUGAACAUCCAGACUUUUAGAGAUGGUUUUGUAUCCUUUCCCAGCUUUAUACAAAACAACAAUCCUUGAUCGCAGGUCUUCAGACAGCUUUUGAAAGAGCCAAGAUGCACAUCAGACAAUGCUUUUCAUCAAGACUAUUCUUACCAGGAUAGGUUCCUCUCCCAGGCAAGAGCUGCUCUUUGUUUCCCUAGGAAAAGCUUUGGAGAUGAAAGCCAGCAGGAAGCUAAUAACGUAGCCUCUCGUGCGGAAUUAGCUCACGUUUGAAGAGUCCACCCGAAUUCACCUGGGACCUUUAGUUGGAAUAACCCUGACUGGCAUUUAAAACAUGCUAUGUCUGCUCGAGCAGCAUGUGCUUCAUCAUUACCCAAUAUUCUUGGAUAGCCCGAUCCAACCAAUGGAUUGAACAUAACAUGGUCUUUUCCUGGUUAAAUUCGCAACAAUCGUCAGCUCAGCCUAGUAGCACAUGUAAUUUUAUUUUCAUAUUUUUAACUAAAUACAAACAUAGGCGGAGUUUGACUUUUGGGGCAGGGGGGGGCAAAACUUGUUGAUGACCCCAAGACGCAGUGUCAGCAAUAAAAUUAACUUACAAGAAUAUUUAUAAUAUUAAGUGGACAAUGAGCAUUUUUUGUUUCCCAUCAUUCUUGAGGGGAAUUCUAAAUCAGGCUGCUUAGGCAAUACUUUUCGCCAAGAUCGUCAUCCAUUAAAUUUGGUAUGCCCGCCGGUGUUGUGCCAAUGUAGUUACCCCAGUCAAAAAUUGUAUCGCCUGGGCAGAGCCAUAUGGAGGUAGAUUUGUGUCUUUAUUAUUCAAUCAAAAAAAGUUGCUUCAAUCAAAAUAUAUAUUUCCGACCAAAAAAAAGUCGCCUCAAUCAAAAAAAUCAAUC